GUCCACACGGUAAACGAUGAAUACUCGCUGUUUGCGAUAUACGGCAAGCGGCCAAGCGAAAGCGUUAAGUAUUCCACCUGGGGAGUACGCCGGCAACGGUGAAACUCAAAGGAAUUGACGGGGCCCGCACAAGCGGAGGAACAUGUGGUUUAAUUCGAUGAUACGCGAGGAACCUUACCCGGGCUUAAAUUGCACUCGAAUGAUCCGGAAACGGUUCAGCUAGCAAUAGCGAGUGUGAAGGUGCUGCAUGGUUGUCGU
rnacentral:rRNA from 1 species